ACUAUUAAUAGCACCAAUAACUUGGUGUUAUUAAGUUUUCUGCCCUUAGAUUAAAAGAUGUGCGGUUAGGAUGAUGUGGGCCCCUUAGGGUUGAGUGGGUGGUUAGUUGAAUAGUAUAAUCGAACGGAUGAAAAUAAUAAAAGAGGUAAAUCUAACGGCUAUUAUAUUCUUAUGAGUAUAAUUUUUUUUGUACUCAUAAGUUUUCGGCCGUUAAAUCUAGCCAUUUGAUCAUUUCCUCCCGUUAGAUCAUACUAUUAAAUCAACCACCUAUUCAAUCCUAGAGGGCCACUGUCAUCCUAACCGCUUAUCCCUUCAUCCAAGGGCCGAAAACCUAAUUGCACCAAUGACUUGGUGCUAUUAAAUUGGUAGAUAUUUAUUUGUAUAUAUGGGUCUAUGCUCAUUAGGAUAUAGAAACCAUAACAUACAUACAUACAUAUAUAUAUAUAUAUAUAUAUAUAUAUAAAUAAAACCCUUUGAUUAUUUUUACCCGUUAGAUUAUACUAUUCAACCAACCACUCACUCAACCCUAGGGGUCCCACAUCAUCCUAACUACUCAUUUCUCAAUCCAAGAGCUAAAAAAUCUUUAUAGUCUGUCUAUGGUACUUGCUAAAAGCACCAGCACUCUUGGUGCUUAUCAAUUUUAUAGUCGUAGAGAUCUAUCCUAGUUGAUCACUAUUGAGUUUUCUACCGUUAGAUCUACCCUUUGAUCAUUUCCACCCGUUAGAUUAUACUAUUAAACCAACCACCCACUCAACCCUAUGGGACCACUAUCAAUUUAACCGGGGACCACUAUCAUCCUAACCGCACAUCCUUUCAUCCAACGACCGAAAACUCAAUAGUACCAAGGGCUUGGUACUAUUGAUAGUAUAAUAGCAUAAUUAUAUAUAUAUAUAUAAAAGGU
rnacentral:lncRNA from 1 species